GGUUCUCUUUCGUUAAACGCAAGAACACAGUAUACACUUCAGUUAAAAGGUGUCAAUAGACAAAAUGAGCUGCUCCAAACGUGCGGCGUCUCGCUGCCGUAUGACAUCAGCGGGAAAUGAAUCUUGAGUCCUGGUAUUCUCACUUAAAAAUAAAAUCGCACACACCACCGGCGCACUAACAAAGAUGUGAUAAUCCAAAUUUUUUGACUUUUAUUACCUAGUCCAGACGAAGAAUGAAAGUGUACUAAAUCAAAAUAUAACAUUUUCAUACCAUCCCGGAAUAUAGAUGCAGAAUUAUUAAAAUUUAAUGCCAAACAAA